rnacentral:rRNA from 1 species
AACGAACGCUGGCGGCGUGUCUUAAGCAUGCAAGUUGAGCGGCAAGGGGUAGCAAUACCCCCUAGAGCGGCGGACUGGUGAGUAACGCGUGGGUGAUCUGCCCUUGGGAUGGGGAUAGCCUCUAGAAAUAGAGGGUAAUACCGAAUACGUUCGGCACUUCGAUGUGUCGAGGAAAAGCGCUUCGGCGCUGCCCGAGGAUGAGCCCGCGUCCCAUUAGCUAGUUGGUGAGGUAACGGCCCACCAAGGCUAUGAUGGGUAGGCGGCCUGAGAGGGUGUACGCCCACACUGGGACUGAGAUACGGCCCAGACUCCUACGGGAGGCUG